AAUGAUCCACCUGAACAACAAGAUCAACAAUCAACACCAAUAAUUUUGAGAUAAAGAUGGCUACAAUUUAGAACACAUUGCAGUUCAAGGGAAAUAUGAUCGAUGAUCCAAAUCAACAUUUGUAGUGGUUCCUUUAACAAUGUGACACCUUCAAGUAUAACGAAGUAAUUGAUGAUGUUGUUCGUCUUUGGUUAUUUCCAUCCCUAUUAUUCGAUAAUGCGGCUGAAUGGUUAGAUCCAUUGGAACUUGGCUCAAUAACAACAUGGGAUGAACUAGCAAAAAAAUUUCUUCAUAACUUUUUCCUAAAAGCCGAACCAUUCAACUCAGAUGCGAUAUCACCAAUUUUAAACAAUUCAAAGGUGAAUCAUUGUACGAAGCAUAAGAAUGAUUCAAAUAAAUGAUACAAAAGUGCCUUUACCAUGGAUUGCAAGAUUUGCUCCAGAUUCAAGUUUUUUACAACGGUGUGGGCAGUAACAUAAAGGCCAACAUCAAUGGAGCGGCUGAAGGAUCUCUUAUGCCCACACAUAUGAGAGAGCAUAUCAGAUCAUAAAUGAUAUGGUAAUGAACUCGUACAUGUGGUCAAAUAAGAGAUUCCAGUACAAACCAAAACCUCUAACUGUGAAAACAAUCAAUGAAGAAGAUAAAUAUUAACAAAUUUUGGAGAAGCUGAACCGGUUGGAUACAACUAUCAAACUUACAAGAAUAGAUCCAUACAUGGAGAACCAAUAGGAGGAUGUUAGCUAUAUCAGUAAUAUGGGUAGAAAUUCCUAUUCAAAUACAUAUAAUCCCAGUUGGAAGGAUCAUCCGAAUCUCAAGUGGAGAGGUAAUCAAGGAAGAGAAAAUCAUGUGUAGAAUAGACUGAACCCUCCAUACUAACCACCAAAUGUGCAAAGAACUCAAGAAAGAUCCAUGGGACAUGACCAUACUGCAUAUGGUCAACGAUUUGAAUGAAUCGAGGGGGAGAUGCAAGCCAUGUGUGUAGAUAUGAACGACAUGAAGGAAAAAAUACUCCAAAUGAUGACUUUAUUACAAAAUCAAAUCGGCCAAGGCACCCUAGGUAAUGCGAAGAACAACCAUUGGAGAGAUGGGAAAGAACAUGUGAAUGCAACCGCCCUGCGAUCAGGUAAGAAACCUGACAACCCAAGUGCACCCAUACAUGAAGAGGAGAAAUUACUUGAAGCUAUUGAUAAGCUUUU
rnacentral:lncRNA from 1 species